UCUCCCACUCUCUGCAACUUCUCUCCCUCUCCCAGUUUGGUCCAGCAGCAAACAGAAAAAGAAGAUAAGAAAACCAUAAAUAUUCCUUGCUCCCUCUUUGAAUCACUCGGCCGGUUGAUGCUAGAAGGAAACCAAAAUCCUUUUUGACAAAAUAAAAGAGGAAAAGAUAAGGACAAGGAGGAACUCUCUGGAAGGUAGAAGGUCAACCCUGAAGCUAAUGACAAGUCCAGGUAAGGGGAUACAACACCAAAAAACCCCAACAAAAUUUUACUACAAAUCUUUUUGAAAAAGUGUUGGAGAAUUUUACAAAGCAUUCACGUACGUGAUUUUUAAUUAUUUCAAUGCCAAGCUUUUAUUACUUAUGUGUUAUUAUUCAAGAAUUUUGUGGAUAAACUAUAGUUAUGAUUAAGAGCAUUUUAAAGUAUUGGUUUAUGCAUAAUUACAGUUGUAAAUAAGAGCAUUUCAAAGUUAUUAUAGUUAUGAUUAAGAGCAUUUUUAAAGUUAUGAUUAUGAAUAAAGCAUUCUAUAGCUUAUGAUUUAUACAUGAAUACAGUUUUGAAUGAAAAGAUGAUCUAAGGUUUAAAAUCUGCACAUGACUAUAGUUAUGAAAAUGGCUCUUACAAUUUUAAAGUAAAGUGUAUAGUUAUAGCAGAGCUUACAGAAAUACAGAAAACGUUUAUGUGUAGUAAUUGUUUAACCCUGAGGCAUUAUUACAGUUAUGAUCGGUACCAUAUAGGGCAGCAUGGCAAGCAUACCAAAAGACGAUGUGUGCUACCGGCCGGGGUUGGCCUUCACCUAGGGAAGUUCCCCAACCCGGCGACUCUCCCCUGUGAUAGCAGGCUGAGUCUAUAGGUUCUUGCGACAAAAGCCAACUUGCUCUGCUCACGGGUAAUAGCGGUGUGGAGUCUAUAAAGGGGAAAACUACAGUUUUAAGAGAAAAUAAAUGAAAAGAAUUUACUUGAUCAUUUAUAAAUUUCUUAUGCUAUUAUUCAUGUUCCUUGUUCAUUUAUUUUUAAUUUCUGUUUUAAUUGUUAAUUACAUUAUAGCUUGUUUUAUUUCCCUGGUGUUGUAAUUUCCUUAAUGAGUUGUUGACUUCACCCAUUUUCCUGUGUUUUUUCCUGAUAUCUCAGUUCAUUGUGCAUUGAUUGCCUAUGCUUAUAUAUGAUUCAGAGUUUAUGUCUGAUAUCUGUUAAGUUUUCCUGUGCAUCUUAAUGCUAGAUAGUUACCUUUCUCAUGCGAUGAUUUUUGUGCACUAUCCAAAGCUCCCCUAAGGUACAUUUUUUUUUUCUCUCUAACUUUAUGCUUUUGAAGAUUCUUAUGAGAGAUAUAUAUUUUUAUUUUUUUGAUAAGAUGAUUAAAUUAACCAACUCACUAGUUGAACCUAGAACCUAUAAAUUCUGGCAUUCUUUAUAGGUUGCAGCACCAAGUGAUAAAAAGCAUUCAAAAAUCAAUAAAUAUGGAUAAAUAAAAAGAUCCACUGCUUAUUGUGCUAUAAAUCUGUUAUUAAACUUGUCCCUAAAGAAACAGUCAAUGACCAAAUCAUUGCGGAAAGAGACGAUCAUUAAAGGACUAAGUAAAAGAAAAGUGCUGCAGCUUAGAAAGAGUGUAUCAAAUGAGGGUGGCUAGGCCUUAGUAAAAUAAGGUUUGACUUUUGACUAAUCUAUCAUUGAUUUUCUCUCUUGUUUAGAAAAUUCAGUUGCUUUAAGUCAUAUCAGUGAACUUCAUACCUUAUUCAAAAAGCUUUCACACACACGCAUUGCAUGAGUUGAGUAAUUUAUCUAAAAUUUCUAUCUGCAAGGAACUUUGUGCUUAACUCUCUGUUAGUUUGUAAUUGGCUUCAUUCUGUUGGACAAAAUCACUUCUUUGUAAUGAUGCUUUUAAACAGGGAUUCCGCUAUUCAGAGUACAUCGAGAAGAUUCUGCAUAGUCUACAAGUAAGAAAAAUCGGAUCCCUUGCAGCCGUCUGGACAACGUGAUAUACCGUACGGACGCCCAACUGUCCAAAGCAUCAUCCAUCUGGACGACGAGAACUUUUCAUCUGGACCUUCCUCAGUGUCGAGAAUCUUCGAACUGCUCCAGCUUGCAUCUGUCCGGAUGUUUUAGCAGCACGUCCGAACGACACUCAGUGUUCGACAAGCUAUGAGAUUUCUUUCCAAAAACACAUAUAUGGGAAGAUCGCUGCAACCAUCCGGACGCACUCAUCCAUAAGGCAAGUAUCACAUUCAAAAUCCGGACGUUCGGACGCCAGUCUUCAUGGUCCAGACGGGUAGGCUAUUUAUAUGGAAAUUGUGUGCAUCAAAUCAACCGUCCAGACGACCAUUCCCUUGGUCCAGAUGCGCGAAGCCUUAAUAUGGAAAUUGCAUGCAGCUGAAGUGCGACCGUCCGGACAACAGGGCAACACCGUCCGGACGCGGCUCAAAUCAGGAAAGAAUUUUAGCGAAAUUUUGGAAAGCCGAUUGCACAAAUGUCCAUCUGGACACCCUUUCUCUACCGUCCGAACGACGCCUAGGUUUUAUCAAGCCAGACGCUCAAUUGAACCUACAGCCUAUAAAUAGAGGUCCCUAGACUUGAGAACUGCAAGAAUUCGGUAUUGAAUUCCUUAGUGCUUAGAGAGUUAUAUUAUAAGGUUAUUGUGCUGAGUAAGUCUCUCUAAAGCCAUUACUGUGUGUGCUAUUGCUGCGCUGAUCUGAUCUGAAGUCUAUCUUAGGGGUUGGCCCUAAGGUAAAGGAUUCCAUUGAAGACCCCUUCAGGUAGGAGACCUGGUUGGGAGGCGUUCGUGUUAGGUUAUACGUUAGAGUGCAAGGUACGACCACUGCAUCAGGGAACCAUGUCUGCAGGCAAUUCUCAGCAUAGGGUCCGACAGAGGACAGAAGAAACUCGAGCUACCUCCUUAGUUAAAAUGGAGAACAGACAGGCUAUGCCAGAGAGGAAUGUACUUAGAGCAGAUGUUAUGGUAGCUUCCCUAGAUUACAUUGCUGAGAUCAUCUGAGACAAUCAUUGGGGAUAUCUUUACAACUGUGCAUGUACAGUAUAUUCCAGGUUGGUGUGAGAGUUUUAUGGGUACCUGGAGGUGAUUCAGGAUGAGGACCAUGGGAUCAUACUUCAGACUUCAAUUCAGGGGCACGUCAUUCAGAUUGAUCCUCAUGUCAUCAGUGCCAUCAUUGAUGUCCAGUUCUACCUAUUUUUGCCAGUCCCUUCAACGAGUUAGUAGAGCCUCUUCCAUUGGAUCAGCUGAGGAAUUUCUUUCAUGCUCAUCCAAUGGGCCAUGAUCGAGCUUAUGCUCUUAUUAAGAUAGGUGCUUUCUCUCCCCCACACCGGCUACUUGCAAAAAUUGUUUUACAUAAUCUCUGGCCCACAACUCGUAGAAGUGAGCUUGUGUUGAAAAGGGCUCAGUUUUUGUAUGCUCUAUGUAUGAGGAUACCUUUUUGCUUAUGUAAGCACAUUCUCAACCUUAUGCUAGAGAUGAGAGAUGACAGGGCUUCCUUUUACGUGCUUGAUCACGAAUCUCAUUGUUCAAUCUCAGAUAGAUAGCUCUGCAGAGCCCUUGAUAAGAGUGUAGGAUCCUCUCGGUAGUCAGACUCUCAUGAAGUCUAAUGCUCAGUUGCGGUUCGAAGGUCAAGGCGAAGCUCAUCAACAUCCUCCAGCUCAGGAUGAUCAGCAUACAACAGCUUCCUCUUCUGAGAUUGUUCCUCCGCUUCCACUUCAAGAUGCAGGAUUUGCUCAAAUUAUGGCUACAUUGAGCUUUAUUCAGGGGGAUGUCAGCUCUAUUCAACGGGAGGUCUGCUCUAUCAGUACUAGAGUUGAGCAGUGCCAGCUUGACAUCCAAGAGUGUCUCCAGCACCAUCAUCCUUAUGAUGAGGAUUGAUUUUUUUUUUUGUGUUUUAUUUAUUUUGAGACAAUUUUUUUUGUUAUUCCUAUUUUACAUAUUUGUAUAACUUUAUAACUUUGGGUUUUAUUUACUCUGUUUACCCUUGUCCUACUGAGACAUUAAGGGUUCAUUUGGGAUUACGAUUUCAAUUAGUGUGAUUUUAAA